GAUGAACGCUGGCGGCGUGCCUAAUACAUGCAAGUCGAGCGAACAGAUGAGGAGCUUGCUCCUCUGACGUUAGCGGCGGACGGGUGAGUAACACGUGGAUAACCUACCUAUAAGACUGGGAUAACUUCGGGAAACCGGAGCUAAUACCGGAUAAUAUAUUGAACCGCAUGGUUCAAUAGUGAAAGACGGUUUUGCUGUCACUUAUAGAUGGAUCCGCGCCGCAUUAGCUAGUUGGUAAGGUAACGGCUUACCAAGGCAACGAUGCGUAGCCGACCUGAGAGGGUGAUCGGCCACACUGGAACUGAGACACGGUCCACACUCCUUCGGGAGGCAGCAGUAGGGGAACUUCCGCAAUGGGCGAAAGCCUGACGGGGCAACGCCGGGUGAGUGAUUAAAGUCUUCGGAUCGUAAAACUCUUUUAGUAGGGGAGAACAAAUGUGUAAGUUACUGUGCACGUCUUGACGGUACCUAAUCAGAAAGCCACCGCUAACUACGUG
rnacentral:rRNA from 1 species